rnacentral:rRNA from 1 species
UGGGGAAUCUUAGACAAUGGGCGCAAGCCUGAUCUAGCCAUGCCGCGUGGGUGAUGAAGGCCUUAGGGUCGUAAAGCCCUUUCGCCGGGGAAGAUAAUGACGGUACCCGGUAAAGAAACCCCGGCUAACUCCGUGCCAGCAGCCGCGGUAAUACGGAGGGGGUUAGCGUUGUUCGGAAUGACUGGGCGUAAAGCGCGCGUAGGCGGAUCUGGAAGUCGGGGGUGAAAUCCCGGGCUCAACCCGAAUGGCCUUCGAGACUCCCGGUCUGGAGUUCGAGAGGGGUGGGUGGAAUUCCGAGUGUAGAGGUGAAAUUCGUAGAUAUUCGGAGGAACACCAGUGGCGAAGGCGGCCCACUGGCUUCAACACUGACGCUGAGGCGCGAAAGCGCGGGGAGCAAAACA